rnacentral:tRNA from 1 species
UGUUCUGUGGCGAAGUUGGUUAGCACACCCUGGCUAAAGAAUUAGGAAGACGUGGGUCCAAAUCCCUCCAGAACUA